GCCCCAGCGGUGUAGUGAUAGAGCACGCGUCGUCGGAUAGGAUGAAACGUGGGUUCGAUUCCCGCCUGAGGUC